GUCCAUGCCGUAAACGAUGUAAACUAGCCGUUGGGCUCCUUGAGGGCUUAGUGGCGCAGCUAACGCGAUAAGUUGACCGCCUGGGGAGUACGGUCGCAAGACUAAAACUCAAAUGAAUUGACGGGGCCCGCACAAGCGGUGGAGCAUGUGGUUUAAUUCGAUGCAACGCGAAGAACCUUACCUGGCCUUGACAUGUCUGGAAUCCUGCGGAGAUGCGGGAGUGCCUUCGGGAAUCAGAACACAGGUGCUGCAUGGCUGUCGU
rnacentral:rRNA from 1 species